UCAAAAACAUCGCCUCUUGUACCCUACAAAUAAGAGGUCCUGCCUGCCCUGUGACACAUAGUUUAACGGCCGCGGUAUUUUAACCGUGCGAAGGUAGCGUAAUCACUUGUCUUUUAAAUGAGGACCAGUAUGAAUGGCAAAACGAGGGCUUAACUGUCUCCCCCCUCCAGUCAAUGAAAUUGAUCUCCCCGUGAAGAAGCGGGGAUACACCCAUAAGACGAGAAGACCCUAUGGAGCUUUAGACACUAAGGCAGCUUACGUUAAAAAUCCUGCACCAAGGCCCUAAACUAAAUAAUUCCUGACCUGACGUCUUCGGUUGGGGCGACCGCGGGGGAAAGAAAAACCCCCACGUGGACUGGGAGUACCUCUCCUAUCACCCCGAGCUACCGCUCUAAUGUAUCAGAACCCUUCUGACCAUAAAUGAUCCGGCGCAAGCCGAUUAACGAAACAAGUUACCCUAGGGAUAACAGCGCAAUCCCCUUUUAGAGACCCUAUCGACAAGGGAGUUUACGACCUCGAUGUUGGAUCAGGACAUCCUAAUGGUGCACCCGCUAUUAAGGGUUCGUUUGUUCAACGAUUAAAGUC
rnacentral:rRNA from 1 species